UACGGGGGGGGCAAGCGUUGUUCGGAAUUACUGGGCGUAAAGGGCUCGUAGGCGGCCAACUAAGUCAGACGUGAAAUCCCUCGGCUUAACCGGGGAACUGCGUCUGAUACUGGAUGGCUUGAGAUUGGGAGAGGGAUGCGGAAUUCCAGGUGUAGCGGUGAAAUGCGUAGAUAUCUGGAGGAACACCGGUGGCGAAGGCGGCAGCCUGGACCAACACUGACGCUGAGGAGCGAAAGCGUGGGGAGCGAACAGG
rnacentral:rRNA from 1 species